rnacentral:rRNA from 1 species
AGAGUUUGAUCCUGGCUCAGGAUGAACGCUAGCGGCAGGCCUAAUACAUGCAAGUCGAGGGGUAGUGGAAGCUUGCUUCCAUGAGACCGGCGCACGGGUGCGUAACGCGUAUGCAACCUACCUCUAUCUGGUGAAUAGCUCUCCGAAAGGAGGAUUAAUACCCCGUAAUAAAUUGAACGGCAUCGUUUGAUUUUGAAAGCUCCGGCGGUUUGAGAUGAGUAUGCGUCUGAUUAGCUAGUUGGUGAGGUAACGGCUCACCAAGGCGACGAUCAGUAGGGGAUCUGAGAGGACUAACCCCCACACUGGUACUGAGACACGGACCAGACUCCUACGGGAGGCAGCAGUAAGGAAUAUUGGUCAAUGGAGGCAACUCUGAACCAGCCAUGCCGCGUGCAGGAUGACGGCCCUAUGGGUUGUAAACUGCUUUUAUACAAGAGAAAACCCUGGUACGUGUACCAGGUUGAUAGUAUUGUAAGAAUAAGCAUCGGCUAACUUCGUG